rnacentral:rRNA from 1 species
AGUGAACGCUGGCGGUAGGCCUAACACAUGCCAGUCGAACGGCAGCACAGUAAGAGCUUGCUCUUACGGGUGGCGAGUGGCGGACGGGUGAGGAAUACAUCGGAAUCUACUUUUUCGUGGGGGAUAACGUAGGGAAACUUACGCUAAUACCGCAUACGACCUACGGGUGAAAGCAGGGGAUCUUCGGACCUUGCGCGAUUGAAUGAGCCGAUGUCGGAUUAGCUAGUUGGCGGGGUAAAGGCCCACCAAGGCGACGAUCCGUAGCUGGUCUGAGAGGAUGAUCAGCCACACUGGAACUGAGACACGGUCCAGACCCCUACGGGAGGCAGCAGUGGGGAAUAUUGGACAAUGGGCGCAAGCCUGAUCCAGCCAUACCGCGUGGGUGAAGAAGGCCUUCGGGUUGUAAAGCCCUUUUGUUGGGAAAGAAAAGCAGCAGGUUAAUACCCCGCUGUUCUGACGGUACCCAAAGAAUAAGCACCGGCUAACUUCGUGC